rnacentral:rRNA from 1 species
CCUACGGGGAGCUGCAGUCGAGAAUCAUUCACAAUGGGGGAAACCCUGAUGGUGCGACGCCGCGUGGGGGAAUGAAGGUCUUCGGAUUGUAAACCCCUGUCAUGUGGGAGCAAAUUAAAAAGAUAGUACCACAAGAGGAAGAGACGGCUAACUCUGUGCCAGCAGCCGCGGUAAUACAGAGGUCUCAAGCGUUGUUCGGAAUCACUGGGCGUAAGGCGUGCGUAGGCUGUUUCGUAAGUCGUGUGUGAAAGGCGCGGGCUCAACCCGCGGACGGAACAUGAUACUGCGAGACUAGAGUAAUGGAGGGGGAACCGGAAUUCUCGGUGUAGCAGUGAAAUGCGUAGAUAUCGAGAGGAACACUCGUGGCGAAGGCGGGUUCCUGGACAUUAACUGACGCUGAGGCACGAAGGCCAGGGGAGCGAAAGGGAUUAGAUACCCGGGUAGUC